AAAGACGGAUAUAGUGAUCCGGUGGUUCUGCAUGGAAGGGCCAUCGCUCAAAGGAUAAAAGGUACGCUGGGGAUAACAGGCUGAUCUCCCCCAAGAGCUCAUAUCGACGGGGAGGUUUGGCACCUCGAUGUCGGCUCGUCACAUCCUGGGGCUGGAGAAGGUCCCAAGGGUUCGGCUGUUCGCCGAUUAAAGUGGCACGCGAGCUGGGUUCAGAACGUCGCGAGACAGUUCGGUCCCUAUCUGUUGUGGGCGUAGGAAUCUUGAGUGGGGCUGACCUUAGUACGAGAGGACCGGGUUGGACCAGCCUCUAGUGAAUCUGUUGUUCCGCCAGGGGCAUUGCAGAGUAGCUACGCUGGGAAUAGAUAAGCGCUGAAAGCAUCUAAGUGCGAAACUAGCCACGAGAUGAGGAUUCCAUACAGGGCCGUAGCAGACUACUACGUCGAUAGGGUACAGAUGUAAAGGUGGCGACACCACAGUCGAGUACUACUAAUAGCCCGAAGCUUUCAAGGC
rnacentral:ncRNA from 1 species